CCUACGGGAGGCUGCAGUGGGGAAUAUUGGUCAAUGGGGGGAACCCUGAUCCAGCGACGCCGCGUGAGUGAAGAAGUAUCUCGGUAUGUAAAGCUUCAUUAGCCGGGAAGAAAAUGACGGUACCUGACUAAGAAGCCCCGGCUAACUACGUGCCAGCAGCCGCGGUAAUACGUAGGGGGCAAGCGUUAUCCGGAUUUACUGGGGGUAAAGGGAGCGUAGUCGGUGCAGCAAGUCUGAUGUGAAAGGUCGGGGCCCUACCCCGGGACUGCAUUGGAAACUGUUGAACUGGAGUACAGGAGAGGUAAGCGGAAUGCGUGGUGUAGCGGUGAAAUGCGUAGAUAUUAGGAGGAACACCGGUGGCGAAGGCAGCUUACUGGACUGUAACUGACGUUGAGGCUCGAAAGCGUGGGGAGCAAACAGGAUUAGAUACCCGUGUAGUC
rnacentral:rRNA from 1 species